GCAUAUCAAUAAGCGGAGGAAAAGAAACCAACAGGGAUUGCCCUAGUAACGGCGAGUGAAGCGGCAACAGCUCAAAUUUGAAAUCUGGCCUUCGGGUCCGAGUUGUAAUUUGUAGAGGAUGCUUUUGGUGCAGUGCCUUCCGAGUUCCUUGGAACAGGACGCCUUAGAGGGUGAGAGCCCCGUACGGUUGGACACUAAGCCUCUGUAAAGCUCCUUCGACGAGUCGAGUAGUUUGGGAAUGCUGCUCUAAAUGGGAGGUAAAUUUCUUCUAAAGCUAAAUACCGGCCAGAGACCGAUAGCGCACAAGUAGAGUGAUCGAAAGAUGAAAAGUACUUUGAAAAGAGGGUUAAAUAGCACGUGAAAUUGUUGAAAGGGAAGCGUUUAUGACCAGACCUUUGCCGGGCGGAUCAUCCGGUGUUCUUCACCGGUGCACUUCGCCCGGCUUAGGCCAGCAUCGAUUUCUGGAGGGGGACAAAGACCAUGGGAACGUAGCUCCUCUCGGGGAGUGUUAUAGCCCUAGGUGUAAUACCCUUCCGGGGAUCGAGGUUCGCGCUUCUGCAAGGAUGCUGGCGUAAUGGUCAUCAACGACCCGUCUUGAAACACGGACCAAGGAGUCGAACAUUUAUGCGAGUGUUUGGGUGUUAAACCCUCACGCGUAAUGAAAGUGAACGGAGGUGAGAGCCCUCUUUUGGGUGCAUCAUCGACCGAUCCUGAUGUAUUCGGAAGGAUUUGAGUAAGAGCAUAACUGUUCGGACCCGAAAGAUGGUGAACUAUGCGUGGAUAGGGUGAAGCCAGAGGAAACUCUGGUGGAGGCUCGCAGCGGUUCUGACGUGCAAAUCGAUCGUCAAAUCUGCGCAUGGGGGCGAAAGACUAUCGAACCAUCUAGUAGCUGGUUACCGC
rnacentral:rRNA from 1 species